UCCCGGUUUCCCGGGCAGUCUCACCAGAGUGCUUUGCCCGAAGGCAAGUGGCAACUGGUAACAGGGGUUGCGCUCGUUAAAGGACUUAACCCAACAUCUCACGACACGAGCUGACGACAGCCAUGCAGCACCUGUAUAUCUGUCCGAGCGAACCCGGAAGAUCGUGUUUCCACGACUGUCAAAUAUAUGUCAAGUCCAGGUAAGGUUCCUCGCGUAGUGUCGAAUUAAACCACAUGUUCCACCGCUUGUGCGGACCCCCGUCAAUUCCUUUGAGUUUUAAUCUUGCGACCGUACUCCCCAGGUGGAUCACUUAACGCGUUAGCUGCGACACCAAGCCAGCAAAGCCGGCCCAACGUCUAGUGAUCAUCGUUUACAGCGUGGACUAC
rnacentral:misc_RNA from 1 species